CGCGUGAGGAACCUGCCUUGGAGAGGGGAAUAACACUCCGAAAGGAGUGCUAAUACCGCAUAAUGCAGUUGGGUCGCAUGGCUCUGACUGCCAAAGAUUUAUCGCUCUGAGAUGGCCUCGCGUCUGAUUAGCUAGUUGGUAAGGUAACGGCUUACCAAGGCGACGAUCAGUAGCCGACCUGAGAGGGUGACCGGCCACAUUGGGACUGAGACACGGCCCAA
rnacentral:rRNA from 1 species